rnacentral:misc_RNA from 1 species
CGCACCUUGCACCCUUUGGUAUUCCGAAGGGUAUGCCUGUUUGAGUGUCAUUAAAUUCUCAAAAUCAUUAUGGUUUUGGAUAUGAGGAUUGCUGGCUUUAUUGUCGGCUUCCUUUAAAUGCAUGAGUGGCUUUGCCUGCAUAUUAUAAGAUUGUAAUCUGCAUCUUUUAAUUGCACUGACUUGCUGCUAUCUAACUGUUUCCUUUGAAACAAUUUGAACCAUUUGACCUCAAAUCAGGUAGGACUACCCGCUGAACUUAA